rnacentral:rRNA from 1 species
AACGAACGCUGGCGGCAUGCCUAACACAUGCAAGUCGAACGAAGCCUUCGGGCUUAGUGGCGCACGGGUGCGUAACGCGUGGGAGUCUGCCCUAGGGUUCGGAAUGACAGUUAGAAAUGACUGCUUAUACCGGGUGAUGUCUUCGGACCAAAGAUUUAUCGCCCAAGGAUGAUCCCGCGUAGGGUUAGGUAGUUGGUGGGGUAAUGGCCCACCAAGCCGACGAUCCUUAGCUGGUCUGAGAGGAUGAUCAGCCACACUGGGACUGAGACACGGCCCAGACUCCUACGGGAGGCAGCAGUGGGGAAUAUUGGACAAUGGGCGAAAGCCUGAUCCAGCAAUGCCGCGUGAGUGAUGAAGGCCUUAGGGUUGUAAAGCUCUUUUACCAGGGAUGAUAAUGACAGUACCUGGAGAAUAAGCUCCGGCUAACUCCGUGCCAGCCGCCGCGGUAACAC